AAGAACUCCAGCUGUUCUAAUAGAAGGGGCCAGCUUAGAGAGUCACACUACAGAUAUGAAGCCACCUGGGCCAGUUAGCAGGAGCAAAUAGUCCCUGACUCAUGCUCUGGCCACCUUGAAGGACCAUGAUGCCUUGCCUCACCACAAGCCCAGAAUCUACAACCAUUCAAAAGGGGCCUGAACCUCUGAAACUGAGUCAAAACAAAUCUGUUCUCCC
rnacentral:lncRNA from 1 species